CUGCGCGGUGGGUCGGGUCGUCUUCCGGGCUGCACCUGGCUAGCGUGGGAGGCCUUUGGGGCCGCUGUGCGGCCGCCUCCUGGUGGCGUCUCUUCUGUGUGCCACGCACCUAGGGAGCAAUCCCUUUCCGCCCUGGUGGUGGGACGCCCUACUUUGGCCCCGCGAGGCUCUGGCCACGUGUUCGGAGGGGUGUUGUGUCCAGUGGGACCCUCCAAAGGGUGGUACUUCAAGGCCAGUCGCCUCUAAGUGUUUUUGAGGUCUUCCUGAGGCAUCAAGCUUGACCCCUAAAUCAUCAUGGUCCUGUUUAGGAUGAAUAUGAUUUGGAGAAAUUAUGUUUGUCAUCUGAGGCAAGGGAAAGUGCCACACAGAUGCCAGAGUGGUGCCCACCCAGUGGCCCCCCUGGGGUCAAGGAUUUUAACUGAUCCAGCCAAAGUUUUUGAGCACAACAUGUGGGAUCACAUGCAGUGGUCUCAAGAGGAAGAAGCAGCAGCCAGAAAAAAAGUAGAGGAAAACUCAACCACACGAGUUGCUCCAGAAGAACAAGAAGGUAAAAAUGAAGCUUCAUGGAAAGAACCCAAGUUUGUUCAGUGUCCAAAACACAGACAAGCGGGAGUUUGGGGCUCACAGAUCUCAUUCCAUGUGUUGCAGUGUAGCCAGGCUGGACUUGAACUCAUGACGUCUUCUGCUUCGGCCUCCCCAGUACUGGAAUUACAGACAUGGGCCAUCAUGUCCGGUGCUGUUUUUAUCUAUACUACUAAGUUUGAAAGUGAUGCUAACAAAUACUGGGACGCAUUUUACCAGACUCAUAAGAAUAAGUUUUUCAAGAAUCGUAACUGGCUGUUGAGGGAAUUUCCUGAAAUUCUUCCAGUUGAUCAAAACGCUAAAGAGAAAGUGGAAGAAUCAUCCUGGGAUCAAAUCAGAAUCAUCUUCUCAAGAAUGCAGGGAACAGAAACCCAUUGUGGAAAAAGCUGUGUCUCCUCAGCCCCUGGGAACAAAGGAAGACCUAACUUUCCCAACCCAGACUUGGAAGAACACAGCGACGACGGGCCUGGGAAGACGGGGCGGUUCCCUGGUAGCAAUGCCACUUUCCGAAUACUGGAGGUUGGCUGUGGUGCUGGAAAUAGUGUCUUUCCAAUCCUGAACACCUUGCAGAACUUUCCAGGAUCCUUUCUUUAUUGCUGUGAUUUUGCUUCUGAAGCCGUGCAGCUUGUAAAGUCACAUGCAUCCUACACUGAGGCCCGCUGCUCUGCCUUUGUUCAUGAUGUGUGCGAUGACGGCCUCGCCUACCCUUUUCCGGAUGGGGUCCUGGACGCCAUUCUCCUUGUCUUUGUGCUCUCCUCCGUUCACCCUGGCAGCCCAGGCUGACCUCAAACUCCCAGUGACCCUCUUGCCUCAACUUCCCCGCUGCUGAGAUGACAGGCAUGCACCACCAUGCCCACCCAUGGGACUUGUGCUUUCAUGAGAAUCUCACAGCCCGACAAGAGGGACAGGGUUUCUCUGUGUAGGCCUGGCUGUCCUGGAUGCUCUGACCAGACUGGCCUCGAACUCAGAGAUCCACCUGUCCCUGCCUCCCAAGUGCUGGGACUAAAGGCGUGUGCCACCACUUGCCUGGCUGCUUUUUUUAUAAUUUGGCAGAAGCUGGAUUUCACCCCACUAUUCUACUAAAUGUAAUUUUUAAAAAUUUUUUAAAUUAUGCGUGUGUGUGUGUGUGUGUGUGUGUGUGUGUGUGUGUGUGUGUGUGUGUCGGGGGUGGGUGUCUGUCUUUCAUACUUACAUGGGUUCCAGGGAUCCAACUCAAGCUGCCAGGCUUUUGUGGCAAUGCUUUUACCUGCUGAGCUAUCUUGGCAGCCAUGAAUGUUGUUUUAAAUGAAAGGAAUUUAUAAAUUACCUGAGCUAACCUCAUCUUUUCGAAAUAAGAAAGCCUCAGCAACUUUAAGUGGCUUAGGUAAAGCAGAGGCCGAGCUGGGUGUGGUGGCUUACGUAUGUAACUCUAGCACUCAGGAAGCUGAGACAGGAGGACUGAUCCAUGUUCGAGGCCAGUCUGGGCUACAUAAUGAGUUCCAGACCACCUUGGGCUACGGUGUAAGAUCCUGUCUUAAGACACAAAAUCAAAUAAACAAACAAAAAAGAGACCGCAAAGACUUGCCCUGUAGGCUGCCAUUUCCCCUCCCUCCCACAGCGGGCAGUGGCCAUAGCUCUGUACCCUGACUGUCAUUCCCUGUGGGCUCCAUGAGCCCUCUCCAUUGGCGCUGUGGGCAGCCAGUGCCUGUCCCUCACCAUCAAUAGAAGACCUGCCUCAUUCUGGUCCACAAAACAGAGACCAUGAACACAGAACCCAAAAUACCACAUCAAGAUUUACUUUAAGAGUCGUAUUUGAUUGCAUGCUCCAGAAGCAGGAUAAGGAAUUAACAAGAGUAAAGCCAGAGCCUCCUGGUGUUGAGCUGGAAUUGAGAUGUGACUACAGUCGAAAGAGGCCAAGAAUAAGGAAAAAGGAGCUUUGUCUUUGAGAGGAAGUCAUAUACACAAAGGCCUGCACAGGCCACGGAGGCCAUCGUGCCAUCGUGUUUGGUUAGGAGAGAAGCUUUGGUCAGAGCAGUAGAAACGCCAUUGGAAGAAGUCAUCUCAGAACCCUGUAAGAAAGAAAACUUGGCCCUCCAGAUUAAAAUCAUGAAAUUCUUUUGACAAUGAGGUGAUUUUCCAGGACCAUUGUUUGAUGUCAGACAACUCAUUGCUUUUAUCCACAGAGAAUUAACAAGAAGGACAUGUAGUGUAUUGGGAAGUGAUUCUGUUUCUGGGCUUGGGGAGGUAAUUGUCCCAAGGAAC